CACGUAGGGCGCAAGCGUUGUCCGGAAUUAUUGGGCGUAAAGAGCUCGUAGGCGGUCUGUUACGUCUGCUGUGAAAACCCCAGGGCUUAACCCUGGGCUUGCAGUGGAUACGGGCAGACUAGAGGCAGGUAGGGGAGAAUGGAAUUCCCGGUGUAGCGGUGAAAUGCGCAGAUAUCGGGAGGAACACCGGUGGCGAAGGCGGUUCUCUGGGCCUGACCUGACGCUGAGGAGCGAAAGCGUGGGGAGCGAACAGG
rnacentral:rRNA from 1 species